rnacentral:rRNA from 1 species
CCUACGGGAGGCAGCAGUGAGGAAUAUUGGUCAAUGGCCGGAAGGCUGAACCAGCCAUGCCGCGUGAAUGUCAGUGCCCUAUGGGCGUUAAACUUCUUUUGUGCGGGAGCAAUAAUGGUCACGUGUGGCCAGACGAGAGUACCGUACGAAUAAGCAUCGGCUAACUCCGUGCCAGCAGCCGCGGUACUACGGGGUAUGCAAGCGUUAUCCGGAUUUAUGGGGUUUAAAGGGUGCGUAGGCUGUGAGGUAAGUCAGCGGAGAAAUGCGCCGGCUCAACGGGGUGAAGUGCCAUUGAUACUGCGCUGCUGGAAUGCGGAUGAGGUGGGAGGAAUGGGUGGUGUAGCGGUGAAAUGCAUAGAUAUCACACAGAACACCGAUUGCGAAGGCAGCUCACGAAUCCGCGAUUGACGCUGAUGCACAAAAGCGUGGGUAGCAAACAGGAUUAGAUACCCGGGUAGUC